rnacentral:rRNA from 1 species
AUUAGAGUUUGAUCCUGGCUCAGAUUGAACGCUGGCGGCAUGCCUAACACAUGCAAGUCGAACAGAGGGAGCUUGCUCCUUGCUGACGAGUGGCGGACGGGUGAGUAACGCGUAGGAAUCUGCCUGAUAGAUGGGGACAACUCAGGGAAACUUGAGCUAAUACCGAAUACGCCCUACGGGGGAAAGCAGGGGAUCUUAGGACCUUGCACCAUUAGAUGAGCCUGCGUGAGAUUAGCUAGUUGGUGCGGUAAUGGCUCACCAAGGCGACGAUCCAUAGCUGGUCUGAGAGGACGAUCAGCCACACUGGGACUGAGACACGGCCCAGACUCCUACGGGAGGCAGCAGUGGGGAAUAUUGGACAAUGGGCGAAAGCCUGAUCCAGCAAUGCCGCGUGUGUGAAGAAGGCCUGAGGGUUGUAAAGCACUUUCAGGAGGGAAGAAAGGUCAAGCGUUAAUAUGCUAGGCUGUGACGUUAUCUACAGAAGAAGCACCGGCUAACUCCGUGCCAGCAGCCGCGGUAAUACGGAGGGUGCGAGCGUUAAUCGGAAUUACUGGGCGUAAAGCGCACGUAGGCGGUUUUGUAAGUCGAAUGUGAAAGCCCUGGGCUUAACCUGGGAACUGCAUUCGAUACUGCAUAACUAGAGUAUAAUAGAGGUAAGUGGAAUUUCCUGUGUAGCGGUGAAAUGCGUAGAUAUAGGAAGGAACACCAGUGGCGAAGGCGGCUAUCUGGACCAAUACUGACGCUGAGGUGCGAAAGCGUGGGGAGCAAACAGGAUUAGAUCCCCUGGUAGUCCACGCCGUAAACGAUGUCAGCUAGCCGUUGGGGGGCUUGACCCCUUAGUGGCGCAGGCUACCGCGAUAAGUUGACCGCCUGGGGAGUACGGCCGCAAGGUUAAAACUCAAAUGAAUUGACGGGGGCCCGCACAAGCGGUGGAGCAUGUGGUUUAAUUCGAUGCAAUGUGAAGAACCUUACCUGGUCUUGACAUCCUCAGAACUUAGCAGAGAUGCUUCGGUGCCUUCGGGAACUGAGUGACAGGUGCUGCAUGGCUGUCGUCAGCUCGUGUUGUGAAAUGUUGGGUUAAGUCCCGUAACGAGCGCAACCCUUGUCCUUAUUUGCCAGCACGUAAUGGUGGGAACUCUAAGGAGACUGCCGGUGACAAACCGGAGGAAGGUGGGGACGACGUCAAGUCAUCAUGGCCCUUACGACCUGGGCUACACACGUGCUACAAUGGCCGGUACAGAGGGCUGCAAACUCGCGAGGGUAAGCUAAUCUCACAACACCGGUCGUAGACCGGAUUGGAGUCUGCAACUCGACUCCAUGAAGUCGGAAUCGCUAGUAAUCGCGAAUCAGAAUGUCGCGGUGAAUACGUUCCCGGGCCUUGUACACACCGCCCGUCACACCAUGGGAGUGGAUUGCACCAGAAGUAGGUAGCUUAACCUUCGGGAGAGCGCUUACCACGGUGUGGUUCAUGACUGGGGUGAAGUCGAAACAAGGUAGCCAAU